AUACGUAGGGUGCGAGCGUUAAUCGGAAUUACUGGGCGUAAAGCGUGCGCAGGCGGCUUUGCAAGACAGAGGUGAAAUCCCCGGGCUCAACCUGGGAACUGCCUUUGUGACUGCAAGGCUAGAGUACGGCAGAGGGGGAUGGAAUUCCGCGUAUAGCAGUGAAAUGCGUAGAUAUGCGGAGGAACACCAAUGGCGAAGGCAAUCCCCUGGGCCUGUACUGACGCUCAUGCACGAAAGCGUGGGGAGCAAACAGGAUUAGAAACCCCAGUAGUCC
rnacentral:rRNA from 1 species